rnacentral:rRNA from 1 species
GACGAACGCUGGCGGCGUGCUUAAUACAUGCAAGUCGAACGGACAGGCCCUGCUCUUGUUGGUUUCUCGAUUGCCGAACGGGUGUGUAUCACGCGAGUAACCCGCCCCUGUCUUUCUGAUAUCUUCACGAAACUGGGGCUAAUACCGCAUAGGAUCUCUUGCUGCAUGGUGUGGGUUGGUAAGUUUCGGCGGUUGGGUAUGGACUCGCGGCUUAUCCGCUUCUUUGUGGGGUAGUGGCUUACCCAGGCUUUGACGGGUAGCCGGCCUGAGAGGGUGACCGGCCACAUUGGGACUGAGGUACGGCCGAGACAGCGACGGGAGGGAGAAGUGGGGAAUAUUGAACGAGGGGCGGAAGCCGGAUGCAGAAACGCCGCGUGCGGGAUAACGGCCUUAGGGUUGUAAACCGCUUGCGCAAGUGACGAAGCGUGAGUGAAGGGAAUGGGUAAAGAAGGACAGGCUAAAUAAGUG